CGGGCUGAGUAACGCGUAGGUGACCUGCCCCGAAGUGGGGGAGUAACUGCCCGAAAGGGUGGCUAAUACCGCAUGUGGUGGUUCGUUCAUUCGAACCAUCAAAGCAGCAAUGCGCUUCGGGAGGGGCCUGCGUCCGAUUAGCUCGUUGGUGGGGUAACGGCUCACCAAGGCGACGAUCGGUAGGUGGUCUGAGAGGACGAUCACCCAGACUGGGACUGAGACACGGCCCAG
rnacentral:rRNA from 1 species